rnacentral:rRNA from 1 species
AACGAACGCUGGCGGCAUGCCUAACACAUGCAAGUCGAACGAUCCCUUCGGGGCUAGUGGCGCACGGGUGCGUAACGCGUGGGAACCUGCCCUUAGGUUCGGAAUAACUCAGAGAAAUUUGAGCUAAUACCGGAUAAUGUCUUCGGACCAAAGAUUUAUCGCCUUUGGAUGGGCCCGCGUUGGAUUAGCUAGUUGGUGGGGUAAAGGCCUACCAAGGCGACGAUCCAUAGCUGGUCUGAGAGGAUGAUCAGCCACACUGGGACUGAGACACGGCCCAGACUCCUACGGGAGGCAGCAGUGGGGAAUAUUGGACAAUGGGCGAAAGCCUGAUCCAGCAAUGCCGCGUGAGUGAUGAAGGCCUUAGGGUUGUAAAGCUCUUUUACCCGGGAUGAUAAUGACAGUACCGGGAGAAUAAGCCCCGGCCAACUCCGUG